rnacentral:rRNA from 1 species
AUUUAGUUUUUUUUUUUUUUGGGGUUUUUUUUCUAGGAUGAACGCUGGCGGCGUGCCUAAUACAUGCAAGUCGAGCGAACGGACGAGAAGCUUGCUUCUCUGAUGUUAGCGGCGGACGGGUGAGUAACACGUGGAUAACCUACCUAUAAGACUGGGAUAACUUCGGGAAACCGGAGCUAAUACCGGAUAAUAUUUUGAACCGCAUGGUUCAAAAGUGAAAGACGGUCUUGCUGUCACUUAUAGAUGGAUCCGCGCUGCAUUAGCUAGUUGGUAAGGUAACGGCUUACCAAGGCAACGAUGCAUAGCCGACCUGAGAGGGUGAUCGGCCACACUGGAACUGAGACACGGUCCAGACUCCUACGGGAGGCAGCAGUAGGGAAUCUUCCGCAAUGGGCGAAAGCCUGACGGAGCAACGCCGCGUGAGUGAUGAAGGUCUUCGGAUCGUAAAACUCUGUUAUUAGGGAAGAACAUAUGUGUAAGUAACUGUGCACAUCUUGACGGUACCUAAUCAGAAAGCCACGGCUAACUACGUGCCAGCAGCCGCGGUAAUACGUAGGUGGCAAGCGUUAUCCGGAAUUAUUGGGCGUAAAGCGCGCGUAGGCGGUUUUUUAAGUCUGAUGUGAAAGCCCACGGCUCAACCGUGGAGGGUCAUUGGAAACUGGAAAACUUGAGUGCAGAAGAGGAAAGUGGAAUUCCAUGUGUAGCGGUGAAAUGCGCAGAGAUAUGGAGGAACACCAGUGGCGAAGGCGACUUUCUGGUCUGUAACUGACGCUGAUGUCGAAAGGAAGCG